rnacentral:rRNA from 1 species
ACCCUAGGCAGGGGAUCACUCGGCUCGUGGAUCGAUGAAGACCG